rnacentral:lncRNA from 1 species
UUUUUUUUUUUUUUUUUGCCUUUUCUAGGGUCACUUCCAUGGCAUAUGGAGAUUCCCAGGCUAGGGGUCGAAUCGGAGUUGUAGCCUCCGGCCUAUGCCAGAGCCACAGCAACGAGGGAUCUGAGCCACAUCUGCAACCUACACCCCAGCUCACGGCAACGCCGGAUCCUUAACCCACUGAGCAAGGCCAGGGACCGAACCCGCAACCUCAUGGUUCCUAGUCGGAUUCGUUAACCACUGCGCCAUAACAGGCACUCUCAAAAUUAAUGCUUUUAAUCUCAAUUUAUGACCUCACUGCAUUUUUGUUCAUGUCCUGCUACACUGAAAUAACUUUCUUUGAAAUUAUAGGGAUGGUAUAUGACAAAUGUCUUUCUUCAUGUUACUAUGAAGGGGAGAAUAUUGUUGCCCUACAUUAACUCCCAGUUUAUUUGAAAAUAAUUUUGACAUUUUUCCACCAUGUCAUUUCUCUAAGGUGUACUGUUAGAGCAGUGGUUUCGAAUGAGACAUGGACCAUUUGAUAAUCUGAGCUAGUUUCAGACCCUUUCUCCGGAAAAACCCCUAUACCUACACACACACAAACUUUUGCAGGUAAUUUUGGAAGCUUGACAGGCCUCUUUAAGACCUGCCAUGGGCUUUUUAAGGGUCCACAAAAUCCAUAUUAGAAAUUCUUGAACCAGAAGGAACAACACUUACUGUGAAAAGGGGGCCUUUUCCUAUUCAUUUACUUUUUUUUAAUUAAAAUAUAGUUGAUUUACAGUGUUGUAUCAAUUUCUGCUGUACAGCAGAGUGACUCUGUCACACAUAUAUAUGCAUUUAUUUUUUAAUGAAAUAUUCAAUGUCAAGAAAAAAUUUCCAUCACACCCUUUUAGGUUCAUUCAAAGUCCAGGGAGCCAAGGAUGGAGAUCAGGGAUUGAAUAGAUAUUUUAGAAACGUAAAUGGCCCUCUGUCUAAAGCAGCUGAUAUGCAGCAUUUGAACCACUGUUCUGUGGAUGUGGUGGGUACAGAAGUCACUCUUCCCUUUGGCAUGUUUUGCUGAACAUAUGUUGCAACCCAUCACCACCGACAAGACUCCGUGCAUCUCCCGGGCUGUCUGGGGGAGUCUUUUUGAAGGCAUUUCAGCCAUCUGUUAGGGUUUCCUGCUCACGAGGGCACUUUGGUGCCAUGAGGAGAUGGGACAUGACAUUUGGAAUCUGGGCCCACAUGUCACAAUGCCAAGGGCAGGGACAGCCCUGGGGAGACUGACUGGACCUUCGGUAGGGAUGAGCCUGUCAAUCAAAUAUAUCAGUCUAGGCCAUCCUAUUAGCAGCUAGGCCCCUGGAAUUUAGAGGGGAGGGGGAGGAAAGGUCUUAGAAAUCUUUAGAAGAGAAAGACAGCCCCUUUCUGUUCAUUUUCCUCUGGUAAAGCCUUGGGGGUAAAAGUGGAGCCCAGAGCUGGAGCAGUGAGGCUGGCAGUGGUCUUGAGAUCUCAGAACCAUAAAGAUCAAUAAAUCCAGAAUUUCCCAGACUUCAGUGAUUCAAGCCCCAUAGCCAUGAUUUUUUGCUGUCCCCACGUCACCAACAAUUUAUUUUAUAUUUUCUUUAAAAAGGCUCAGGUCUUUAUUUAAAUACAUGUAUUUUUAAAGAAACUUAUAUGUAUGAGUGGGUCACUUUGCUGUACAGCAGAAUUGACAGAACAUUGUAAAUCAACUAUAAUAGGAAAAAUAAAAAUCUUAAAAAAAGGAAACUUUACAUAAGUAACUAAAUAGAAGUCAGCAUCCCAUAGAAGUAGCUAUGAAUACAAUACAGUCAAAGGUAAACAAAACGAAAACAAAGGAAGCUUUUGGAAUUCUAGCUUGACAUUGUGACCUGCUAGCUCCUUGUUGAAAUGGGGAAUCAGCAAAGGCCAUGGGCUUGUUAAAAACAGGAACUCAGACUUUCCCCUUGAUGUGACUGGCAAUAUUGAAAGCAAUUUCAAAAGUGAAUCAUCAUUACCUUUUUAGGGGCUUAAUAUUAAUUAAUACCACAUGCAAGAUGCACUAAAGUUCACGUGCCACCUAUAAUCAUUGUUAUGUGCUGCUGUAGGACUGCAUUUCACACUGUGGAGGACACCUGGAGAACAGAAAAGACUUGUCCAAGGUAACUGUGGUUCUGCAUCCAUCCUUAAACCUAUGCCAUGUGCCAAUUGAUUUUAUAGCUUUUCCUGUGAGAGGCAUAUUAUACAUGCCCGCACCUUGACUUUGGACUCUGCUUUUGUGAUUUUCUUUGGCCAAGAUGUUGGAAAAUGUAGUGCAGGCAGAGGCUUCAAACUGGCUUGUAGAGCUGGGCUUGCUUGCUUUCACUUUGCCAUCGUUGCGAAGAGGACCUGUCAUGUUUAACCUGAGCUAAGGAGGAUGGAGCCGGGCUGAGCAGACCUAGGUUCUAUCACAAGGAGAUUCAGUGUUAUACUCUAGGCUGUUCAUCCCCCGUUUUUGGUGCAGUGUGGGGAGGAUGUAUGCAUGUGCAUGCGUGUGUGUGUGUGUGUGUGUGUGUGAGUGAGAGAGAGAGAGAAAAGAAGCAGACAGCGGGCAGAAGGUGAGAGGGAGCAGGAAGGAGAUCAAGAAAGGCGAGGUGAAUAGGGAAGAUUCAUGUCCUAAGGACACAGGCUCUGUCUUAUUCAUCUUCUAUAAUCCCAAAGCCUAGUGGAGCCUAGAGGCUCUCAAAAUGUUGAUGAUGAAUAAAUGCUUUAUCUUUUACCCAACAAUCUUCUUGAUUCAAAAAGCUCUUACCGAGAACUCUCUUAUACACGUGGGACUGGGCUCAAUGUCCCCAGAGAUGCGAAAGAAGUCAUUUUUGCACCUUGGGACAUUAUCAUGUAUUUCGGUGGCAAGGCCAUGCCCACAUAAUAUGGUGAGGCACCCACUCAAAGCUGGAUUGUUCUGUGCAUGACAAACGUGGUGUCCCUCAGCAAGGGCAGUGUCCUCUCCUGUGAGCCGUGCGUGUUCCCUCAGCCUGCAGUGCCAUCCUUCAGCUCUCCAUGGAGCAUUGAUGUUGCCCACAAAUCUGAGCUCUUUGUCUUCCUGCCUUGCCUCUUCUUUUCCCUAUGGGCAUUUUUAUUCCUUCCUUUUUGGAUUCUCUCUGACUGUGCUCCGGAAUACAUGGAGGUACCUGCAGCUGUUUCAUUGAGUCGCCCUCCUGUCUAGUUGAUGCGAAACCCAGGAAUAGUCGUUCACAUCUCCGUCCACGACGAAGCCCUGUAGAAUCUGUCUGUAAUUUACACGUUGAGGCUCCAUCUCCUCCUCGACCACCGUGAGCCCCUGUCAUGUCUCACAACUACCUGGUUACUUAGCAUCGCCUGCACUCAGUCUUUUCC